rnacentral:rRNA from 1 species
UGGGGAAUCUUGCACAAUGGGCGCAAGCCUGAUGCAGCCAUGCCGCGUGAAUGAUGAAGGCCUUAGGGUUGUAAAAUUCUUUCGCCAGGGAUGAUAAUGACAGUACCUGGUAAAGAAGCCCCGGCUAACUUCGUGCCAGCAGCCGCGGUAAUACGAAGGGGGCUAGCGUUGUUCGGAAUUACUGGGCGUAAAGCGCGCGUAGGCGGAUUGAUCAGUCAGGGGUGAAAUCCCGGAGCUCAACCCCGGAACUGCCUUUGAUACUGUCAAUCUAGAGAUCGAGAGAGGUGAGUGGAAUUCCGAGUGUAGAGGUGAAAUUCGUAGAUAUUCGGAGGAACACCAGUGGCGAAGGCGGCUCACUGGCUCGAUACUGACGCUGAGGUGCGAAAGCGUGGGGAGCAAACGGGAUUAGAUACCCCGGUAGUCC